AAAGAUGGCGACCGGCGCACGGGUGAGUAACACGUAUCCAACCUGCCGAUAACUCGGGGAUAGCCUUUCGAAAGAAAGAUUAAUACCGGAUAGCAUACGAAUAUCGCAUGAUAUUUUUAUUAAAGAAUUUCGGUUAUCGAUGGGGAUGCGUUCCAUUAGUUUGUUGGCGGGGUAACGGCCCACCAAGACUACGAUGGAUAGGGGUUCUGAGAGGAAGGUCCCCCACAUUGGAACUGAGACACGGUCCAA
rnacentral:rRNA from 1 species